rnacentral:rRNA from 1 species
UACGAAGGGUGCAAGCGUUACUCGGAAUUACUGGGCGUAAAGCGUGCGUAGGUGGUUCGUUAAGUCUGUCGUGAAAGCCCCGGGCUCAACCUGGGAAUGGCGAUGGAUACUGGCGGGCUAGAGUGCGGUAGAGGGUAGUGGAAUUCCCGGUGUAGCAGUGAAAUGCGUAGAGAUCGGGAGGAACAUCUGUGGCGAAGGCGACUGCCUGGACCAGCACUGACACUGAGGCGCGAAAGCGUGGGGAGCAAACAGG